UACUUUUCAACAAACAGAACAGGAAAGAAAUUAAAGACAAAUCAGAACAAAGUCCUUCUCACUGACCUUUAUUUUUAAUCCUGUGAUGAAACAUUUCUAUCUUGAUAAAAGCGGUCACUUCCAGGAUGAACCUGGAGACCAUGAACCUGGCCUGAUGAAACAUUUCUAUCUUGUUAACAGCGGUCACUUCCAGGAUGAACUCUUUGAAUGGUUUGAUGAGUUAAAAAACAAGUCAUCAAUACUGCUUGCAUGAACAUCCCAUCCUCAGUCACAGUGUCCCAAUCAGGACACACAUUUGCUUAUGUAACGGAGUCUCCUCUUCUGGGUCGGCUACAUUCAGUGUGGAUGAGGUCAGGGCUCAGUGCAAGACAAUAAUUGCAAUCUGAGUGCCCUUCUUGCCCAGAGGACAAUACAACACUACCAGAAGGGGCAGCUGACCUACCUCACAUGUUUGUAAAGGCAAAAAAGAAGAUUAUUUAAUGGUGCCAUUAAUAAUGUUAACGUAAAAACUUUUGUAACUGGGGUACAGAGUUUAACAUGGUUGUCAAACCCAUCAUGGAUGGACUCAGGAACAGCAUUGCAGUGCUGAACAAGUAAUACCACUAAACUCACUCCACUGGAGAAUUGGUAUAUAUGAAUCUGGGGUUCAAGUUAAUCUCAGACUGUACUGGAAGUCCAUGUGUUGUAAUGUUGCUCUGUUUAAAGUAUGAAUAUACUUUCACUACACUUGCUUGGAUUCAUUCUUAAAUGUGCCAUGUAAAAAAAAUCUAUUUUUAGAAUUAUGUUUCCUUGUGCAAAUUCUUACAGAUCUUCCACAUACCAAAUGUAAACAUAUUAUGCUGACUGAAGUGCCUGAUUAGCUCCUAAUUAUUCAUUGUUGUCUAUUAUUGGGUUGUCUAUUAUCUCUGUAUAGUCUAUAAUGUUUUGUGUGCUCAUCUAUGUUUAUGUUCUUGGCAGUUCUCGUAGUUCAAGCUUAAUAAGAAGCCCCUUCUUUCUUAUGUACCCAGCCUUUCAGACAGUUUUUUCUUCAGCUUGAUGUCCAAAUAAUGUUGGUUCUCAAAUAUGGAGAUGAAUGGUUAAAUGUUUAAACACACAAACGAGCUAUUAUAUUCCACAGACAAGAAAAAGAUGACAUUUGUCAGUUUUGUUUCAUACAUUGAUCUUUAUUUUUCUGCUGAGUAGUUUAAUGAAGCGGAAGUAAUAAGUAAGCUAUUAUGAAUUUUUGCAGCAACUAUUCUUUACUGUAUUUGCAUAAUUUUGUGUCAAACUAUUCAUAUGAGAUAGAUAAAACUCAGUUGGUUCAAAGUGGGUUUUUCUACAGGCACCAUAUGUUGAAAUUCUCUCAUCAUAUAAUAUACUUUAUUGUAGUCCUCCUUAUAGCUUAUUCAGAUAUUUGUUAAGACAUGAGCAAAAUGCACUAUAUACUGUAUAUACUGUAUGCAAUAAA